ensembl:lncRNA
AUGAACUGGAACAGAACAUGUAAAAUUUAUGCUGUAAGAUGGAAGCUUGAGAAACUGGCCUAUACUGUCUUUAUUGUGACCCUCAAAUAUAAAGAGACUAUGGUAUCUUAUGAUGUCACGUCACUCUUCACGUGCAUCCCCACUGCCAGCGCCAUAGACACCAUCCACAAGCACCUUCUAUUGGACAAGAAUCUUACAGAAAGAACAACCUUAACACCGGCCCAAAUCUGCACCAUGCUGGACCUGUGUUUGAACACCACCUAUUUCCAGUACAGAGAAGGCUUCUACAGGCAGAAACAUGGCUGUGCCAUGGGCUCACCAGUAUCCCCUAUAGUUGCCAAUCUAUACAUGGAGAAGGUGGAAUCCCAGGCCCUGACAUCCUUCACAGGAACUGCGCCAAGCCACUGGUUCAGGUAUGUGGAUGACACCUGGGUCAAAAUUCAAAUACAAGAAUUGGAAGCGUUCUCCGAUCACCUCAACAAAACAGACGAGCAUGUAAAAUUCACCCGGGAAGAGGUAAAAGGAAACAGUCUGGCCUUUCUGGACUGCGCAGUCAAGAUCACUGAGGACAGAAAUCUCACCAUCGAAGUCUACAGAAAACCUACACAUACCGACCAGUACCUCCAGUUUGACUCUCACCACCCACUGGAACACAAGUUGGGAGUGAUCAGAACUCUCCAACACCGGGCCAGGGAAAUACCCACCACAUCCCAAGGCAGAAAGAAGGAACAGAACCACAUUAAGACAGCUCUCAAAACAUGUGGCUACCCAGACUGGGCCUUCACCAAAACCUCAAGAAAGCAAGACCUCAGCAAAGGAGAGGAGGAGAGAAACAAACGCCGCAGCGUUUCCAUCCCCUACCUGUCUGGAGUCUCGGAGAAGUUUAGGAGGAUCCUCCAGAAACACGACAUACCGGUUCAUUUCAAACCCAGCAACACCCUCAGACAGAGGUUAGUACACCCAAAGGACAAGACACCAAGACCCAAACAAAGUAAUGUUGUUUAUGCUGUACAGUGCCAGGAGAAAUGCAAGGAACUGUACAUUGGGGAAACCAAACAACCUCUACACAGAAGAAUGGCACAACACAGACGUGCCACCUCUUCGGGUCAGGAUUCAGCAGUCCACUUACACUUAAAGGAGAGUGGGCACUCCUUCGAGGACAGCCAAGUACGGAUACUGGCCAGAGAAGACCGCUGGUUCGAAAGGGGGGUCAAGGAAGCUAUCCAUGUUAAAUUGGAGAAACCAUCCUUAAACAGGGGUGGUGGCCUGAGGCACUUCCUAUCACCCACAUACAAUGCAGUCCUCCACUCCUUCCAACAGCAAAACAAACAUUCACACCAUUCCAAGAGACCCAGUGACUCAUCACCAUGUGACCCAGCAGACAAAGGGGAGACAUCUCAACAGAAACUAGGUCAACGACCCGACCAACGACCCUGCUAA